GGGUUGUGGCUCAGUGGUAGAGCGCUUUCCUAGCAUGUGUGAGGCACUGGGUUCCAUUCUCAGAACACA
rnacentral:tRNA from 1 species